GCCAGGUGUGGUGGUGCACAUCUGUAGUUCCAGCUAUACAGAAGGCUGAGGCAGGAGGAUCGUUUGAGCCUAGGAGGUCGAGGCUGCAGUGAGCCGUGAUGGCGCCACUGCACUCCAGCCUGGGCAACAGAGCAAGAUCCUGUCUCCA
rnacentral:SRP_RNA from 1 species